CUGCCUCCUCCUCUUGCCCCGCACCCCCAUCCCAGCCGCCACCUCCCUGCUCCGGCUGGUCCUCUGCGCCGUUCCGGUGCCGCUCCGCCUCCCUGGCCACCCGCCCUUCUCCUUCUCCCUUUCUCCGUCUUCAACCCCCAGCCUUCGCGUGACCGCGCCACUCCGCCUCCUUGGACGACCGCCGGCCAACAGGAGCAGCGCAUCGACGGCGCAAGCAGGAGGGGCUGCUCGAGCUCCGCCCUAGAUGGAGAUGGCGGGGCGUGCCGGCAGCGCCUCGAGCUCCACCUCGAUCUACUGCCUCGCUGCCAAGCAGCACCAGAGGGAGAUGCUUCUCUGUAGACACAGAGACGGACGGUAAUGUCGAGUCGAGAUGGGCUGAACUCCGAACAACAUGAGAGAGGGUGCCGAUCUUUAGAUGAGGAGCAAACACAUUUAUCAAAAGAGAAACUCUCAUCUCAAAGUUAGGCAGGAAAAGAAGAGAAUGAACUUGACCAGCCAGAAAAAGGCUUCUGAACAUUCACACAAUGGAAAUGUAGUGGUGCCUUUGAGAUUGCCUCCAGAGUUGGAUGUCAGAGUGUGCAAAGCAUUCACAGGUUGAAGCUAUAGGAGAGUCAGAUCGUCAAUGUCUCGGCCACUGCCAUAACCACAGACUAAAACCGAGAGAUUACUUGGAAGGGAACCACUGAUCCCUUUGAGAGUGGAUAUCAUCAGCGGCAUGACAUGGCACGGGAAGCAGCAACCAAAACAAGGCAAGGCCAGAUGUCUUGAGCAUCACGAGGCGUGUUGCCUGGUGUUGCAGCGUCACCCUAUCGGUGGAGCACGCUGAGCCUGUCAGCACCCAUCAUCCAAGCUGACGCCGGCGAUGAGAAAUUAUCCGGAGCUUAGGCGCCCAAAUCCUCAACCAAUCAGAUGUAGCUGGCAGCAUCUCCGCGGUCUCUGAUGUUGUGCUCACUGUCCCGGGAAGGACAAUUGGUGAAGCAAGGAGGGAUGUGCUCCUUUUCGACACAAGAUGUAGCUGGCAGCAUCUUUGCAAUCUCUUAUGUUGUGUUCACGUUCCCAGGAAGGACCAUUUGUGAAGCAAGGAGGGAUGUUCUUAUUUUCGACACAAGGUGGACUACUGAUUCGUAUCCUAUGCUUCCUUUGUAGAUACAUUUGAUUACCAAAGGUUUGGGUGAUCUAGCCAUUUGGUCCUUCUGCAACUAAAUGGGCUAAAUGGUUCCAUUAAAGUUGUUUCCAAGGAAGUAGAAUGGAUUGACUAGCUUUUCUAUACUUAUGCUGAUAGCUCAUCUGGCAUGAUUGACCCAGAAGGCAUCAAAAUUAUUUCCUCUCAUCUUGAGUUUCCCCAUACCGAGGCUCGGAUUUUGAUGUUAGCAUGGAAAAUGGAAAAUGGGCUGUAAAGCAAGGUGCUAAUUGAGAACCAUUGGGAACUUUUAUCGAGGUGAGAUUGUGUAGACCAUUUGUCUGAGUAGUGUCUAUCUGCAAGACACGUUUCUUACAAUGCUACUGCUAGGUGUAAUAUAUUUUCAUACAAUCUCCGUGUCUACUUACUCUCUGUCUGUUUAUCAUUUGCGCUGUGCGGGGCUGCGCAAGACACUCCCAAAAUAUGGCUUCUUUUGCAUCGAAAAAAUAGCGAAUCCAUUCCUGCAUAGUACUGGCAACUCUAAUUAGUUCAAUACUGGAAAAGUACAGUAUAUUAUUCUGCCAUAUUUUAAUUGGAAAGUGCUAGCAACUGAAUGGUUGGUGUCAUAUUGACUUUUAUCCUCUCAAUUUCUUCUGUAUUUUUAUUUUGAUGAGAAAAGAAAUUGCCAUCAAAUCAGAGAUGAGCCUCAAGUUCCAAUUUUCUGAAAUAAAAUUAUUGUGUUGUUCCAUUUUCUUAGAUAAUAGUUGUUUCAGAUGGAAAAUUUAAGAGUUCCUUCUCCUAUCGCACAAAAUGUAUUUUGGGAUUGCUGGUGCGCAUAGAAAUUUUGCCUCUUAUGGAUAACUUGGCGGUAUCCAAUAUGUUCUUAAACCAAUACUCCAAUAUUUUUCCUGCUUAUUGGCCAAUUCUUCUAAGUUUUUUUUAUAGGAAUGGUGACUCUGGAUUUAUAACUGCUGAGCAUCUAUGUAUAUGCAUCUUUUAUAUUGUGAUAGCAAGAUAGUUUAUAUUUUGUAAUGUGUCUGUCAACCCAUAAGCAGGAUGCUCCUUGCUUCUGGGGACAUAUUGGUAUGGUUGAUCAGCCAAUAUUUUUCCUGCUUAUUCGCCAAUUCUUCUUAGUUUUUUUUAUAGGAAUGGUGACUCUGGAUUUAUAACCGCUCAACACCUAUGUAUACGCAUCUUUUAUAUUGUGAUAGCAAGAUAGUUUUUAUUCUUUAAUGUGUCUAUCAACCAUAUGAAGUGGGGGUUGCUUAGGCCCUCAUUUUUUAAUGUGCUUUAUAAUUUAGCAAAGUAACUACAGUAAGUGCAUCAUGACCAAGUAUUCUGCUUUUUAAAGCGCUUUUCAUUCCUAACUAGACUUAGGAACUAAAUAUAUGUUGUGUUCCCUUCAACAAUAUGCGAUUGUGUUUUUUGUUGUUGUUGGUGUUGUACACAUUAGUAAGAGAUAUUUAGCGUAUAUUUUCUUCAUAUAGAUUUUGAUUCCUAACAGAAUCUGGGCUACUGUCUGCUUCAGAUUGAAUAUGCCAGUGUAUUUCUGCUGGUGUUGUCACUAGAAAGUUAUAUUUUUACUUCAGAUAUAGUGUUAAGUGAUUCAGGAAUCAAGGGUGAAAAUUACAAGCUGCAAUAUGGAAUGAGGUUGAUGAUCUUAUGAAAGAUACGCAACAACUGGUCAUCAUGGCUAAAAGGGAUGACGUAUCUUCCCGUCUUCUGCCGUCACACCCUGUCUAUGAGCAUGAAGAUAGCUUGGCAAGCAUAAUUCCAUCCUCCUUGACUUUGAGGCCAACCAUUCUCAAAGUGAGAUCCACGUCUUCGAAUUCAACAUAGAUUAUGAGAUUGGUUCAAAUCCCACGGGAUCGCGCCGCCCACCCGGUUCUUUUUUGGUCAAUUGUGUCGUUUGGUUUGCGAUUUCCGUACGAGGAAUCAACCAUGCAAGUUGUGCGCCUAUUGCAGGGUUUCUAUGGGUUCGUGGUUCGUGACUAAAACUACUAGGGAAUGCAUGCCUAUAGGAACCUUGCGCUGUAUGUUCUUGCGGGUUCUUAGUUCGGAUGACCGUGUCUCGUGUUUGUGUUGUUAGCUCUAUAGAUCCUCUUAUUGAGUCGGUGUGCUGUCAGAUAAUAUGUAAUCGGCUUAAUUUUCUAUGUCCUUUGUGCCAUGAGUUUUAAAGACCAUGCUGGACAUGUAGAUGAUGAUUUUGGUGUUCACUUAUUUUUGUUCCUCUUGGCAUAAUCAACAACCAUUAGUUUGCUCUUGGCAGAAUCAACUGGUGGUAUAUAAAUGAAUGAUUUUCUAUUUGUAAUUUAGUGUGGUUCGCUAUAUUUUGUAAAACCUAAGAAGAUGUAUUAUCAUUUUACCUCCUACAAUGAGUC